rnacentral:tRNA from 1 species
GGACCCUUAGCUCAGCGGUCAGAGCAGCCGACUUUUAAUCGGAAGGUCCCGGGUUCGAAUCCCGGAGGGUUCACCA